rnacentral:sRNA from 1 species
AAUCCUGCUUCCUGCUUCCCAGAGGCCGGGAUCCGGAGCGCCCGAAGCCGGUGCCGCAGCCCCCUGCGCCCCCGACAUGUCCUUCCGCAAAGUGGUCCGGCAGAGCAAAUUCCGGCAUGUGUUCGGGCAGCCGGUCAAGAACGACCAGUGCUAUGAGGACAUUCGCGUGUCCCGUGUUACCUGGGACAGCACCUUCUGCGCCGUCAACCCCAAGUUCCUGGCGGUGAUUGUGGAGGCCAGUGGAGGGGGUGCCUUUCUGGUGCUCCCCCUAAGCAAGACGGGCCGCAUUGACAAGGCCUACCCGACGGUGUGUGGGCACACAGGACCUGUCCUGGACAUCGAUUGGUGUCCUCACAACGACGAAGUCAUAGCCAGUGGCUCGGAGGACUGCACGGUCAUGGUGUGGCAGAUCCCAGAGAACGGGCUGACCUCCCCGCUGACAGAGCCGGUGGUGGUACUGGAGGGGCACACCAAGCGAGUGGGCAUCAUCACCUGGCACCCCACGGCCCGAAACGUGCUGCUCAGUGCAGGUCUGCACCGCCCCCCGUUUUGUGCUCCCCCCCCGCCGGACCCCUCCAUACAUCCCAGCAGCCCCUCCAGGGCCCACAUGACAAAUGGGAAAGCUGAGGCCCUCAGAGUUGGAGAGACCCGUCUGUCCCAGGGUGGUGGGCAGAGUGGGCCUCAGCCUGGUGAGCUAAUGGCCUCCUGCCACCCGCCCGGCCUGAGCUGACAACCCUCACCUGCCAGGCUGCGACAACGUGGUACUCAUCUGGAAUGUGGGCACAGCGGAGGAGCUGUACCGCCUGGACAGCCUGCACCCUGACCUCAUCUACAAUGUCAGCUGGAACCACAGUGGCAGCCUGUUUUGCUCAGCAUGCAAGGACAAGAGUGUGCGCAUCAUCGACCCCCGUCGGGGCACCCUGGUGGCAGUACGUGGCUCUGGAGGGCAAGGAUGGCUGUGGAUAGGCCCAGGGCCUUGAGCAGGGUGCUGCACUGACCAGCCUGUCCCCCCGACAGGAGCGGGAG